AGUUCAGAAGCUAAAUUGAUUGAGCAUUGGAUUUUUGAUCUAAAGAUAGGAUUAGUUCCCUGGAC
rnacentral:tRNA from 1 species